AAGCGUGCACGGUGGAUGCCUUGGCAGUCAGAGGCGAUGAAGGACGUGGUAAUCUGCGAUAAGCGUUGGUAAGCCGAUAAACAGGCCGUGACCCAGCGAUUUCCGAAUGGGGAAACCCACUCACAUAAGUGAGUAUCCUGUUACUGAAUACAUAGGUGACAGGAGGCGAACCCGGGGAACUGAAACAUCUAAGUACCCGGAGGAAAAGAAAUCAAUUGAGAUUCCCCUAGUAGCGGCGAGCGAACGGGGAUUAGCCCUUAAGCUUAUAAUGGUUUAGCGGAACGCUCUGGAAAGUGCGGCGAUAGAGGGUGAUAGCCCCGUACGCGAAAGGCCAUUUUAAGUGAAAUCGAGUAGGUCGGGACACGAGAAAUCUUGACUGAACCGUCUUCGGACAAGGGGGGACCAUCCUCCAAGGCUAAAUACUCCUGACUGACCGAUAGUGAACCAGUACCGUGAGGGAAAGGCGAAAAGAACCCCGUUGAGGGGAGUGAAAUAGAUCCUGAAACCGUGUACGUACAAGCAGUGGGAGCAGACUUGUUCUGUGACUGCGUACCUUUUGUAUAAUGGGUCAGCGACUUACAUUCUGUGGCAAGGUUAACCGUUUAGGGUAGCCGUAGGGAAACCGAGUCUUAAUAGGGCGUCCAUAGUCGCAGGAUGUAGACCCGAAACCGAGCGAUCUAGCCAUGAGCAGGUUGAAGAUCAGGUAACACUGAUUGGAGGACCGAACCCACCGUCUUUGAAAAGCCGGGGGAUGACUUGUGGCUAGGAGUGAAAGGCUAAUCAAGCUCGGAGAUAGCUGGUUCUCCUCGAAAGCUAUUUAGGUAGCGCCUCGUGUCUCACCAUUGGGGGUAGAGCACUGUUUGGGCUAGGGGGUCAUCCCGACUUACCAACCCCAUGCAAACUCCGAAUACCAAUGAGUGCAAUCACGGGAGACACACGGCGGGUGCUAACGUCCGUCGUGGAAAGGGAAACAACCCAGACCGUCAGCUAAGGUCCCAAAGUAACAGUUAAGUGGGAAACGAUGUGAGAAGGCCCAGACAGCCAGGAGGUUGGCUUAGAAGCAGCCAUUCCUUUAAAAAGUGCGUAACAGCUUACUGGUCAAGUGUCCUUGCGCCGAAAAUGUAACGGGGCUAGAGCAAAACACCGAAAUCACGGAUUGUGUGUGCAUUUAUUUUCAUGCAUGAUGGUAGAAGAGCGUUCACUAGAGCGUUGAAGAGAGAGACGUGAGUCCUCUUGGAGUUAAGUGAAGUGAGAAUGUAGGCAUGAGUAACGCAAAGGCAGGUGAGAAACCUGCCCGCCAAAAACCCAAGGAUUCCAGAGCAAGGAUAAUCCGCUCUGGGUUAGUCGGCCCCUAAGGCAAAGCCGAAAGGCGUAGUCGAUGGGAAAGGGAUUAAUAUUUCUCUACUAAUCAGAUUGUGCGAUGGACAGACGCGGAAGGUCCAGCCCUGCCAGGGAACGGUUGUCCUGGUCUAAGGUCAAAGGCGUGCUUUUUUUAAUAGAUGAAGCUUAGCUGAAGACCGAAUGCCAAGCAAUUGAAAGAAAGCUGAAGAGGGUUUCGCCAUGCCGCCAAGAAAUACGUUCUAAGUUUAGAUCUGAUUAACCGUACCGUAAACCGACUCAGGUAGGUGGGAUGAGUAUUCUAAGGCGAUCGAGAGAACUACAGCUAAGGAACUCGGCAAAUUCGCUCCGUAACUUCGGAAGAAGGAGCGCCAGUUUAGGAUGAAGAGCUUGCUUUUCGUUUUGAAUUGGCCGCAGUGAAAAGAUUCAGGCGACUGUUUAGCAAAAACACAGGACUCUGCUAACCCGCAAGGGGAUGUAUAGGGUCUGACACCUGCCCGGUGCCGGAAGGUUAAGAGGAGAUGUUAGCCUAGCUUGUCUAGGCGAAGCAUUGAAUUGAAGCCCCGGUAAACGGCGGCCGUAACUAUAACGGUCCUAAGGUAGCGAAAUUCCUUGUCGGGUAAGUUCCGACCUGCACGAAUGGCGUAACGAUGGCCAAGCUGUCUCCACCCGAGACUCAGUGAAAUUGAAAUCGCUGUUAAGAUGCAGUGUAUCCGCGGCUAGACGGAAAGACCCCGUGAACCUUUACUAUAGCUUCACAGUGGAUCUUGAUGUUGCUUGUGUAGGAUAGGUGGGAGGCUUUGAAACAUGGACGCCAGUCUGUGUGGAGCCAACCUUGAAAUACCACCCUGGCAACAUUGAGGUUCUAACUCAGGUCCCUGAUCGGGAUCGAGGACAUUGUGUGGUGGGUAGUUUGACUGGGGCGGUCUCCUCCCAAAGAGUAACGGAGGAGCACGAAGGUGCGCUAAGUACGGUCGGACAUCGUACGGUUAGUGUAAAGGCACAAGCGCGCUUGACUGCGAGACGUACAUGUCGAGCAGGUACGAAAGUAGGUCUUAGUGAUCCGGUGGUUCUGUAUGGAAGGGCCAUCGCUCAACGGAUAAAAGGUACUCCGGGG
rnacentral:rRNA from 1 species